UUUUUUUAUAAAUAAUUUAUUCUAAACAAAACCUUUAAGAUUCCUUCAAUUUUGAUACUCAUGUCAAAAAAAAAAAAAUUAUCCCUUCCAUCUGCUAGUCUCCACCAAAGAGUUCAAUAUAACUAGCAAAGAAGCUGAUACGAGCUGGUCAUUGCAUUCAAGGGUUCCAAAUGCAGAAUUCAGGAGAAAAAAAUGAACUUCUAGGGAAAGGCAACAAAACAAGUUUUCAGAAUUGAGAUUGGAAAGGGAAUCUUCAAUUCAAUGGUUGCCAUUAUUUCAAUUUAGUAAUACAUGCCCAGUGGAAAUACCACCAAAAUCUAAACUAAAAGAGAACCUUCCAUCACAGUAACAGCUUUCCCUCGCAGCAGCACUCUAUCAUUCUGCACAUCCAAAUGAAUGCUCAAUUUUCCACUUCUACGUGAUGCCGCAUAUGCCAUAAAAUCACACUUCCCCAGCUUUUUACUCCAAUAGGGUGCUAAGGCACAAUGUGCACUCCCACAAACAGGAUCCUGAAGAGUGCAAACACGUAAUGUCUUUGUCACCACAUAACGAACCAUAUUUAUCUUUGUCAAGUCUUCCAAAUAUUCUUGAGAACUUGGCGACAAGACAAAGUUAGUGCUUUGUGUCAGGAACUUGUUUGAGUGUUUCAUUGAGUUAGGAAAACCUUUCCAUUUUAAUGGAAGGCAUUGAAAUAACUGAUGCCAAAAAAUAACUAUAUAUGUUACCUCAUUGACUCUGAAUUUCGGGCAGAAGAAACGACUAUAAAAAUCAAAACCAGACUCUGGUGGAGCAACUCCAGAAACAAUAAUCCCCCUUCCGGGACAUUUUAGAACCUCAUCAAAACGUGGCUGCAAUUCUUCAACAGCUUUACCAGAUGGCAGCACAACCUACAAUAAUAUGACAACCUUUUGCCAUAGAAAACUUCAAAACAUACAGAUAUAAAGGAGGGGAUAAGGUAAGAGGAUAAGACUUGAGAGAUAUUAUUACAAAAAGGUCAUCUGCAGCAGUAGUCCUCUUGAUAUCAAUUAUGGUAGCGCCAUUCAGAGCUCUAGAAACAAAGGCAACAUCAGCAGAACUGAAUUCUGCUAAUGGGACAGUCGGGAAAUUUAAUUCAAUAACAAAGCUCUCUUCUGCUUCACCAUUUUGAGUAGCAGUAAAGAUAUCAGGAGUCUUCUUAGCUGUUAGAAUCCCAGAAAGCGUCUCAAACUCAAUUAUGCUGGAAUUCACCAACCCAUUACUAAACAGAGCAUGUGAAGCCGCCAAUGUUACAUGACCACAAAGCUUGACCUCAGCCACAGGAGUGAACCACCUGAGAGGGAACCUGGGAUUUGAAGAAACAUCAUCGGACUGGGUGACUACAGUCAAGAAUCCGGUAGUGGGGAUGUUGAACUCGGCGGCCACAGCUUGCAUCCAUUUCUCAUCUCUCUCGUCCUCUAACAUACAUACCACUCCAGGAUUUCCCUUGAAAGCCGAGUCGGCAAACGCGUCCACCUGCUCAAAACUCAUAGCCGAUUCAUACCAACACAGAAGCAGUUGUAAAUAUGAAUGUGUUUAGAGAAAGUACCAAAAAGUAUCUGACGAACGUUUUUUCCAUUUUCUACCCACCGAAAAAGAGAUGAAUUUGGGUACAGAUAACUGUAGGCGAGAAAAAGACAAGUCGCAGAGAUAAAAUCGUAUAAAACAGAUAAACAGAACAUCCUCAUAUCUUUCUUUUGGAUUUUUGUUUUUUUUAAUUUUUUGGAAAAAUGCCUGUCAAUAAUUUGAAAUAAAAUAAUGAUAUUUCUUUUUUUAUAAUUUCCCCUCAGUUACUAUUCUUAAGGUUUAUCAUAAUUUUCUUUUUAUUUUUAUACCUAUAAAUUAAAUUUAUUCUGGUGCGAAUGAUUUAAAACAAAAAAUUUUAAUUUAAU
rnacentral:misc_RNA from 1 species